ACUGGGCGUAAAGAGCUCGUAGGCGGUUUGUCACGUCGUCUGUGAAAUCCUCCAGCUUAACUGGGGGCGUGCAGGCGAUACGGGCAGACUUGAGUACUACAGGAGAGACUGGAAUUCCUGGUGUAGCGGUGAAAUGCGCAGAUAUCAGGAGGAACACCGGUGGCGAAGGCGGGUCUCUGGGUAGUAACUGACGCUGAGGAGCGAAAGCAUGGGUAGCGAACAGGAUUAGAUACCCUGGUAGUCCAUGCCGUAAACGGUGGGCGCUAGGUGUGGGGUCCUUCCACGGACUCCGUGCCGUAGCUAACGCAUUAAGCGCCCCGCCUGGGGAGUACGGCCGCAAGGCUAAAACUCAAAGGAAUUGACGGGGGCCCGCACAAGCGGCGGAGCAUGUGGAUUAAUUCGAUGCAACGCGAAGAACCUUACCUAGGCUUGACAUAUACAGGACGACGGCAGAGAUGUCGUUUCCCUUGUGGCUUGUAUACAGGUGGUGCAUGGUUGUCGUCAGCUCGUGUCGUGAGAUGUUGGGUUAAGUCCGGCAACGAGCGCAACCCCUGUCUCAUGUUGCCAGCACGUAAUGGUGGGGACUCGUGAGAGACUGCCGGGGUCAACUCGGAGGAAGGUGGGGAUGACGUCAAAUCAUCAUGCCCCUUAUGUCUAGGGCUUCACACAUGCUACAAUGGCUAGUACAGAGGGCUGCGAGACCGUGAGGUGGAGCGAAUCCCUUAAAGCUAGUCUCAGUUCGGAUUGGGGUCUGCAACUCGACCCCAUGAAGUCGGAGUCGCUAGUAAUCGCAGAUCAGCAACGCUGCGGU
rnacentral:rRNA from 1 species